rnacentral:rRNA from 1 species
UACGUAGGGUGCGAGCGUUAAUCGGAAUUACUGGGCGUAAAGCGUGCGCAGGCGGUCUGUUAAGACCGAUGUGAAAUCCCCGGGCUUAACCUGGGAACUGCAUUGGUGACUGGCAGGCUUUGAGUGUGGCAGAGGGAGGUAGAAUUCCACGUGUAGCAGUGAAAUGCGUAGAGAUGUGGAGGAAUACCGAUGGCGAAGGCAGCCUCCUGGGCCAACACUGACGCUCAUGCACGAAGCGUGGGAGC